rnacentral:rRNA from 1 species
ACUCCUACGGGAGGCAGCAGUAGGGAAUAUUGGUCAAUGGGCGAAAGCCUGAACCAGCCAUGCCGCGUGUCAGAUGAAGGUCCUCUGGAUUGUAAAUGACUUUUCUACGGGAAGAAUGAGCCGUCUGCGGACGGAAGUUGACGGUACCGUAGGAAUAAGCACCGGCUAACUACGUGCCAGCAGCCGCGGUAAUACGUAGGGGUGCAAGCGUUGUCCGGAUUUACUGGGGUUUAAAGGGUACGUAGGCGGUUGUGCCAAGUCUGGGGUGAAAGUUUGCAGCUCAACUGUAAAAUUGCCUUGGAUACUGGUCGGCUAGAGUAGUGGAGCGGUGGCUGGAAUUUAUAGUGUAGCGGUGAAAUGCUUAGAUACUAUGAGGAACACCAAUUGCGAAGGCAGGUCACUGGUCACUAACUGACGCUGAGGUACGAAAGUGUGGGGAUCAAACAGGAUUAGAUACCCCUGGUAGGAUAGCG